GGGGUGCUGCGGGGCGAGACAAAGGAAAUUCACCAAUCAGCAAGAGGGGCAGUACAGCAUUUUUUAACUUCUUAAAUAAGUUUUGCUGCCCAACGUGAGCCUGAACAAGUCCAAUUCCCACCCUGAUUUGGAAUGUCCAAUCAGCUACUUGCUCUUUGCAGGCGUGGUCAUGCUCUGUCCCCAGUGCCAGUUCAGAAGAGCGUAGCCAUCCUCCAAAACAUGUGGCAUCACCAGCCUGUUUCUUAUAACACCGCGGCCCAAAGCCAAGCUGGCACAGAACGAGCCGGAAGAAAGCCUUUCCUACGUGGCUUUGGUAUGCAGUCCAAGGGUGCCCAGUCAACCAGUUGGGGUCGCUAGAGAGCAAUGAAUCGCAGACCCCUAAUUGACUGAACCCUCUUGAAUGCUGGGUGACGCAAUCGGCAAUUACGCCUCACCCUAUGGAGCUACCGGCCACAGCCGGGACUAGCGAAGCCUGGAUUCCAUCCAAGACUGUGGGGCUCAUCCAUGCACCACAGCACGGUGCCUUACCCGAAUGAGGCACCCAGCAGCCCCGGACAGCAUUUUUAAAAAGCAAACAAACUGGAAACGCAAACGCACACAAUUGUGUGUGUUUAAGUGUAUAACACGCACUGUCAAUAGAAAUAAAAA